UUUUUUUUGUAUUUUUUG
rnacentral:sRNA from 1 species